AGCCGGGGAGGAAGUGACACAUUUUCCUGCUUGAAUGGAGCAGGCCCCUGCAGCGGCGACUUGGCCUUCGUCAGCAGUCUUAUCUCGGGCCCGCCAUCGCAGGCGCCUGGUUCCUCAUACAAUGCUUUCCUCUGGCUGAACCCUUCGAGAUGACUGCAAAGCUUUGGAAAGCUCCAUGUCAGAGAUUCGCGGCAUCCGUGCCUGAUUCAAGUUCUCAAAUGCAACUUCCAGUAAUCAUCAGACACAGGUCCAUGUUUUGGGCAUCAUCUAUUGCACAGCUGUGCAACUGAAGGAGGGGAGAUCAAGCGUGGAGGAGGGAAGCAGGACUAUUUUGAACUGGAUCAAAUAUCCCCCACCUCCAGUCAGUGAUAAAGGGCCAAAGCAGAGAGCUGAACUGGAAGAGGGGCAACCGGGACCAGAACCCAGCGCCCAUAUGGGAUGCCAGCGCUGCAAAUGGAGGAUUAGCCAAGUGAGCCACGGCACCGGCCCCUGUGGAAGCCUUUUGAACCCACCAACUCCGCACAGGACUUAUUGACAGUUCUCCUGAGAGGUCUGUUAUAAAAGCCCACAUUUGUCCCCACCCAACCUUUCUGCUCCUGGUUACAGACGUAAUCACUUGCUUUCUCCUGGAUGCACACCUGCCAUUGCUCCAUGUGCCAUGAGAUAAUGUAGCCAAGGAGCACACUGCAGAGCAUUCCCUAAGCCAUUUGGACUUUGAACCCCUAAUACUAUGAGCUAAAUAAACCUCUUCUUCCUAAGUAGCCUAUGUCAAGUAUUUCAUGAUAGUGAGAGCAUAGUGGACAAGAUUCUGAAACCCUUCGUGGGCGGAGGGACAAGAUGGAGAGUCAGAAACACGAGCACUGGGAUUGGCAUUUGGCCCAGUGGUUAAGACACCAAUUGAGAUUUCCACAUUCCUUAUCAGAGUGCCUGGGUUUUGGGUCCUGGCUCCAUUUCUUUCUUCCUUUCUUCCUUCCUUUCUUCCUUCCUUCCUUCCUUCCUUUCUUCCUUCCUUCCUUCCUUCCUUCCUUCCUUCCUUCCUUCCUUCCUUCCUUCCUUCCUUCCUUCCUUCCUUUCUUCCUUUCCUUCCUUCCUUCCUUCCUUCCUUCCUUCCUUCCUUUCCUUCCUUUCCUUCCUUCCUUCUUUCUUUCCUCCUUCCUUCCUUCCUUCCUUCCUUCCUUCCUUCCUUCCUUCCUUCCUUCCUUCCUUCCUUUUAUUUUUUUUAUUUUUUGACAGGCAGAGUUUGACAGUGAGAGAGAAAGAGACAGAGAGAGAGUUAUAGACAGUGAGAGAGAGAGAAAGGUCUUCCUUCUGUUGGUUCACUCCUCUAAUGUCCUCCCGGUCUCCUAUGUGGGUGCAGGGACCCAAGCAUUUGGGCCAUCCUCUGCUGUCCUCCUGGGCCACAGCAAAGAGCUGGACUGGAAGAGGAGCAACCAGGACUAGUACCCGGCACCCCAACCGGGACUAGAACCCGGGGUGCCGGCACUGCAGGCAGAGAAUUAGCCAAGAGAGCCAUGGCGCCAGUCCUGGCUCCAUUUCUGAUUCCAGCUUCCUGCUAAUAUACAACCUAGGAAGCAAGCAACAGCUCCAAGUAGUUACAUCUCCGUCACCCAAGUGGGAGAUUUGGUUUGAGCUCCCAACUCCUGGCUUCAGCCUUGUCCAGUCCCUGCCAUUGCCAACAUUUGGAGAUGUGAACUAGCAGAUGGGAGUGCUCUCUCUCUUUCUCACUCUCUCUCCCCCUCUCAAAUAAAUAAAUAAAUCAAUAUUUAAAAAGUGUGUGUACAAAGAAAUGCAAAGUCUGUGAGCAGAUAAUAUCACAAACAUGUUGAUGACAGGCAAGCAUAAUGCCACCCAAGUAAGGAUGGGACAAAGAUGUUGUCAUCAGUUUAACCAUACAAGUAUGUUCAUAGCUAUUCUUUUUCUUUUCUAUUUUGAUCAAAAAAGUUUGUAGUUUUUACAUUGUCAACUGAACAACAAUCUUGUGACAUUUCACAGCAUAUAAGCAAUUCAGCAAACUUUUGACAGUUUAGAAACAUACUUAGGUUCUGUGGGACGGUGAUGGGCUGCACGUCUGCCAUUCCAUCCCCCCAUGGUUUGUUUAUGUCACUAUGUGGCUUCGGUCAAGAUCAAUAACUUGGCUGCAAGGUCCCCAAAGAUGUUCUGCUUAGUGGCAGGGGUGGGCAUAUCCUUCAACACUGCUGCCCUUGGGGGUACUGAGGAGAAGCUGUCUAGUGAGUCACUGGGAGUGCAAGUGUAUGCCACUGAGUUAGAGAAGAAAAUUCAGGACUCAACAGUGAAAUUCUUCUAAUUCAGUGCAAAGCUUUGAUGGAUCGAAAACAUGAGGCACACAUGAAUACAAUAGCGCUUCCAUCCAUUUUUAGGAGUUGCAGUAACACGAUGGAGAUAAGAGUCUUAACUUUGCCAUGAAGACCAUUUCUGUGGAAGGACAGAAGUUCACUCUGAAGACAGCCAAGGUUCUUACUCUUUGAGAACCAAAGCCAUAAAGCACGUUUCCAUGUAUCGCCUGUAGGAAGUGGCUCCUUUGGGAACAAGAACGACUCUUCCUUAGCAUGGAAUCACCCAUGCAGUACCUCCUGAUGGGUAAAAAAAAAAAAGGCACAUAUUUCAUAACAGCACUUUUAGACUUCCUUCAUGGGGAUUCAGUUACUCACAAAGAAGACUGAGGCUAGGGCUGGUGUUGUGGUACAGCCAGUUAAGCUGCCACCUAACCCACCGCUUAUGAUGCCAGCAUCCUUUAUUGGAGUGCCGGUUGAGUCCCUACUGCUCUUUCUGCUGCAGCUUCCUGCUAAUGUACCUAUGAAGGCAGCAGAAGAUUGUCCAAGUGCUUGGGCUCCUGCCACCCACUUGGGAGACCUGGAUGGAGUCCUGGCUCCUGGAGUCAGCCUGGCCCAUCCCUGUACUUUGCAGCCCUUUGAGGAGUGAAUCACAGAAUGGAAGCUCUCUCUCUCUCUCCCCCUGUAACUCUGCCUUUCAAAUAAAUGAACAAGUCAUUAAAAAAGAUGAAUACUGAGGCUGAAUCUUCCAGGUAAAACCAAAACAGCCUGUUUGGCAUCUUCAAAGUUGAGAGUCACAAAAAGCAUUGUCUCCCAAGAGCACUUAGAACACAGUUUGUGUUCUCAGCAGCAACUUUUAAGUGACUUGAAACCUGUGAAUAAACAGAAAUACUGGAGAGAGCAGCAGGAGGAAGGGUGAGGGAAAGGUCGAUUACUGGGUACUGAGUUACAGUUAGGCAUAAGAAGUUUGGGGUUCUAUUUCAAAGUAGGAUGACUAUAAACAAGGAUGGUGUGCUGUAUAUUUCUCUAAAAAGAAAUUAGUAGAAAGGAUUUUGAAUGUUUCCACCAUAAAUAAAUGUUAAAUGUUUGGGAUGGAUAUGUUUACAGAACUGGACAUUACACAAUGUAUGCAUGUAUAGAAACAUCACGUGGUACUCCAUAAAUAUGCGCCAUUUUUGUACAUAAGUUAAAAUAAAGGAAAAUGAUAGAACAUAUUUCAUUGUAUCCUACUCCAGUUCCCUUGAUUGUAGAAUUGUCUUUCUAAUACUGCCAAUUGGGCUAUUGUCAUCCUAAAUUUCUUGCUCAGCAGUAACAAGACUGAAAAGCAGCACUGGCUUUGCAACAAUGAAUUUUUUCAAAACCUCUACUCACUGGCCAGUCCACUAUCUCCUUUCUGUGACACUUAGUUAAGGAUGGACCCUGAAGCCAGAUUGUCAGGGUCUGACCCUCAACUCUUACAUUCCUUAGCUGGGGACCUUGUUGAGUUACUAAUGCCCUCUGUGAUUCUAUUUUAUUACCUAUAAAAUGACUGUAGUAGCACCUACAUCAUAGGGUUGUUGUGAGACAUGAGCGAGUUAAUAUAGUGAAGCACCACAUAAUGGAAUUUUGGCCAAUGACAGGCCACGGUGUUUGACAAGUGGUCCUACAAGAUGUCAUCUAGUGACAUCGUAGCUGUGGUAUUGUAGCUUAGCACAUUGCUCAUAUCUUUGUGAUGGUGCUGGUGUAAACACAUCUAUUGAGUUGACAGUUGUAUAAAAGUACAGUACAUAUACUUACAAGAGUACUUCAAAAAGUUUGUGGAAAAUUGGAAUUAAAAAAAGAAUGUAUCUUUUCCAUGAAUUUUUGGAAGAACCCUCAUGUGUGUAUAGCAUGUAAUACUGGAUAGUGAUAAUAAAUGACUAUGUUACUGGUCUGUGUAUUCACUCUGUUAUAUUCUUCAUUGUUGUCUUAGAGUAGUCCUUCUACUUAAAAAGCAGAAUUAUCAGUAUGCCAUGUUAUCCAGGUAACAGCCUUAGCAGCUCAUGCUUACCACAUCUCAUGAUUGCAUACACUAAACUGUAUUUUAAUGUGUUUGCUACACUAUAUAUUUUAUUGUAUAUUAGAAUGUGCUCCUACUUAUAAAACAAGUUUCUUGCAAAACA